GACGAACGCUGGCGGCGUGCUUAACACAUGCAAGUCGAACGGAAAGGCCCUGCUUUUGUGGGGUGCUUGAGUGGCGAACGGGUGAGUAACACGUGAGUAACCUGCCCUUGACUUUGGGAUAACUUCAGGAAACUGGGGCUAAUACCGGAUAGGAGCUCCUGCUGCAUGGUGGGGGUUGGAAAGUUUCGGCGGUUGGGGAUGGACUCGCGGCUUAUCAGCUUGUUGGUGGGGUAGUGGCUUACCAAGGCUUUGACGGGUAGCCGGCCUGAGAGGGUGACCGGCCACAUUGGGACUGAGAUACGGCCCAGACUCCUACGGGAGGCAGCAGUGGGGAAUAUUGCACAAUGGGCGGAAGCCUGAUGCAGCAACGCCGCGUGCGGGAUGACGGCCUUCGGGUUGUAAACCGCUUUCGCCUGUGACGAAGCGUGAGUGGCGGUAAUGGGUAAAGAAGCACCGGCUAACUACGUG
rnacentral:rRNA from 1 species